rnacentral:rRNA from 1 species
CCUACGGGUGGCAGCAGUGGGGAAUAUUGGACAAUGGGGGGAACCCUGAUCCAGCCAUGCCGCGUGUGUGAAGAAGGCCCUCGGGUUGUAAAGCACUUUCAGUGAGGAAGAACGCCUGGUGGUUAAUACCCAUCAGGAAAGACAUCACUCACAGAAGAAGCACCGGCUAACUCCGUGCCAGCAGCCGCGGUAAUACGGAGGGUGCGAGCGUUAAUCGGAAUUACUGGGCGUAAAGCGCGCGUAGGUGGCUUGAUAAGCCGGUUGUGAAAGCCCCGGGCUCAACCUGGGAACGGCAUCCGGAACUGUCAAGCUAGAGUGCAGGAGGGGAAGGUAGAAUUCCCGGUGUAGCGGUGAAAUGCGUAGAGAUCGGGAGGAAUACCAGUGGCGAAGGCGGCCUUCUGGACUGACACUGACACUGAGGUGCGAAAGCGUGGGUAGCAAACAGGAUUAGAUACCCUUGUAGUC